GAAGAAUAGCAGAAGAUCACGCCAUUGAAGGUCUUGACACACCUUCAAAAUUGCCGAUGUCAUAUUCUUUCCCCGAUGCACCUUCAAAAUUGCCAGCUUUCCAUCACCAACCUUGAAUGUCGCGCCGAAAAGAGGUUGAAGCCUUUGUUGAAGAUGAAUGCCUCGAAUGAUGUCGUAGAGGGUUGGUUGCUAGGUUAGUUAAUUCAGGAGAAUAGUUUUUUAUGAACAUCAUUUUGGGACGGCUGGAAUUGGAGCUAGCGAUGUGCUUCUGCAUACCACUUGUCUAUGUUCGUGUUGGAAAGAUCAACAAGCAAGGUAUUCUAUUGUGCCCUUCCAAUUCAAAGUAAGUAUAUAUUGACCUAAAAAUCAAAAUCCAAGUUAUGAUGGCAAAGAGUUGUCACUCAAGCUUCAUGGUGAUGGAAAGUUGGGCAAUUUUGAAGGUGCAUCGUGGAAAGAAUAUGAUCUGGCAUGGGUAAUUUUAAAGAGCAUCAAGAGAUUCAAUGACAUGAUCUUCUAUUUUUUUCUUCUUCUUUUGAUCGUGUACAGUAUUGAUAAGAAUAGUACUCCUUAUUCUUCUUCCUCUUU